UGUAGUCAUAUGCUUGUCUCAAAGAUUAAGCCAUGCAUGUCUAAGUAUAAGCAAUUAUACAGCGAAACUGCGAAUGGCUCAUUAUAUAAGUUAUCGUUUAUUUGAUAGUACCUUACUACUUGGAUAACCGUGGUAAUUCUAGAGCUAAUACAUGCUGAAAAUCCCGACUUCGGAAGGGAGGUAUUUAUUAGAUUAAAAACCAAUGCCCUCUGGGCUCCUUGGUGAUUCAUAAUAACUUUUCGAAUCGCACGGCCUUGCGCCGGCGAUGGUUCAUUCAAAUUUCUUCCCUAUCAACUUUCGAUGUUUGGGUAUUGGCCAAACAUGGUCGCAACGGGUAACGGAGGGUUAGGGCUCGACCCCGGAGAAGGAGCCUGAGAAACGGCUACUACAUCCAAGGAAGGCAGCAGGCGCGCAAAUUACCCAAUCCCGAUUCGGGGAGGUAGUGACAAUAAAUACUGAUACAGGGCUCUUUUGGGUCUUGUAAUUGGAAUGAGUACAAUUUAAAUCUCUUAACGAGGAACAAUUGGAGGGCAAGUCUGGUGCCAGCAGCCGCGGUAAUUCCAGCUCCAAUAGCGUAUAUUAAAGUUGUUGUGGUUAAAAAGCUCGUAGUUGAACCUUGGGCCUGGCUGGCCGGUCCGCCUCACCGCGUGUACUGGUCCGGCCGGGCCUUUCCCUCUGUGGAACCUCAUGCCCUUCACUGGGUGUGGCGGGGAAACAGGACUUUUACUUUGAAAAAAUUAGAGUGCUCCAGGCAGGCCUAUGCUCGAAUACAUUAGCAUGGAAUAAUAAAAUAGGACGCGUGGUUCUAUUUUGUUGGUUUCUAGGACCGCCGUAAUGAUUAAUAGGGACAGUCGGGGGCAUCAGUAUUCAAUUGUCAGAGGUGAAAUUCUUAGAUUUAUUGAAGACUAACUACUGCGAAAGCAUUUGCCAAGGAUGUUUUCAUUAAUCAGGAACGAAAGUUAGGGGAUCGAAGACGAUCAGAUACCGUCGUAGUCUUAACCAUAAACUAUGCCGACUAGGGAUCGGACGAUGUUAUUUUUUGACGCGUUCGGCACCUUACGAGAAAUCAAAGUGCUUGGGCUCCAGGGGGAGUAUGGUCGCAAGGCUGAAACUUAAAGAAAUUGACGGAAGGGCACCACCAGGGGUAAACGCUUAUGCAGCCGCAGCAGCUCUGCUCCAAAAAGCAGCCCGAAAGGGUCAGUGGUGUUCCUGUCCGCGCUACGGCGCGGCGAACUAAGUGCUAGUCUCUCCGGAGGCGACACCCUCAAAUUGCGGGAAACUUCUAAAACCAGUGCCACCAAGCCGGCGUCGAAAAGGCGUCGGUGGCCGGGGCAAUGACCUAGGGUAUGGUAAAAGCGCACUGGAUAUAUGGACAAUCCGCAGCCAAGCCUCGUCACGGGGAAGGUUCAGAGACUAAAUGGGGGUGGGUAGUGUGCUGGAGGAUUCGUCCCCCGAGCGCUCGCUCACACACUGCUUAAGAUAUAGUCCGCCCGCGCUGGAAACGGCGCGGAUUAGCAAGCUCAAAUAAACGGGAGCCUGCGGCUUAAUUUGACUCAACACGGGGAAACUCACCAGGUCCAGACACAAUGAGGAUUGACAGAUUGAGAGCUCUUUCUUGAUUUUGUGGGUGGUGGUGCAUGGCCGUUCUUAGUUGGUGGAGUGAUUUGUCUGCUUAAUUGCGAUAACGAACGAGACCUUAACCUGCUAAAUAGCCUGUAUUGCUUUGGCAGUACGCCGGCUUCUUAGAGGGACUAUCGGCUCAAGCCGAUGGAAGUUUGAGGCAAUAACAGGUUGACCUACACAGGCCUGUCACAGUGGUCCUCACUAAAAUAUCCGCUAGUCGAGCGCAUUCACCUCUGUUGGGAAAGCUCCCUUUUACUGGGCAGAGGAGACGGCCGCCGCCGUCUUUGCGUCGGCGACACUACCUGGUACAGGGGACGCCUGAAAGGGCCGAUCCUGUGGCGAGCUCGGGUCGCGCCGAGCCGUCGCAACGCACGCUAAGGAGUGGGCUAGGAAACUAGCUUAAGGUACGUGCUAAUCCCACGGGCAACCGUGCUCGAUCGAAUAGGCCCAGUAAGCCGAAGCGAUCGGGGCUCUUGGGUAGUUCCGGAGCGGCUUGCUGUCCCCUGGGGAAGAACGACGCCCCGCGUCUGUUCGAACCGGGAGGCGACAAGAAUGCUGUGAUGCCCUUAGAUGUUCUGGGCCGCACGCGCGCUACACUGACGGAGCCAGCGAGUACUUCCUUGGCCGAAAGGCCCGGGUAAUCUUGUGAAACUCCGUCGUGCUGGGGAUAGAGCAUUGCAAUUAUUGCUCUUCAACGAGGAAUCCCUAGUAAGCGCAAGUCAUCAGCUUGCGUUGAUUACGUCCCUGCCCUUUGUACACACCGCCCGUCGCUACUACCGAUUGAAUGGCUCAGUGAGGCGUCCGGACUGGCCCAGGGAGGUGGGCAACUACCCCCCAGGGCCGGAAAGCUCUCCAAACUCGGUCAUUUAGAGGAAGUAAAAGUCGUAACAAGGUCUCCGUUGGUGAACCAGCGGAGGGAUCAUUACCGAGUUUUCAACUCCCUAACCCUUCUGUGAACCUACCUAUCGUUGCUUCGGCGGACUCGCCCCAGCCCGGACGCGGACUGGACCAGCGGCCCGCCGGGGACCUCAAACUCUUGUAUUCCAGCAUCUUCUGAAUACGCCGCAAGGCAAAACAAAUGAAUCAAAACUUUCAACAACGGAUCUCUUGGCUCUGGCAUCGAUGAAGAACGCAGCGAAACGCGAUAAGUAAUGUGAAUUGCAGAAUCCAGUGAAUCAUCGAAUCUUUGAACGCACAUUGCGCCCGCCAGCAUUCUGGCGGGCAUGCCUGUUCGAGCGUCAUUUCAACCCUCGACCUCCCCUUGGGGAGGUCGGCGUUGGGGACCGGCAGCACACCGCCGGCCCUGAAAUGGAGUGGCGGCCCGUCCGCGGCGACCUCUGCGCAGUAAUACAGCUCGCACCGGGACCCCGACGCGGCCACGCCGUAAAACACCCAACUUCUGAACGUGACCUCGAAUCAGGUAG
rnacentral:rRNA from 1 species